AUGUCUCUUGCCUCGCUCGGUCUGCCGUUUCCCCUCGGCUAAUCUUGAGCUGGAUGCAGCCGGUCACUUUUAGUGCUGGCUUGUACGAGACAAGAAGAAGCGUGAAAACGCGUCGACGUUUUUUGAGUACGAUUUGAUCCGCAAUGCACCACGGGUCUCCGUCGUAAUUUAUCAGUCGGGACAACC
rnacentral:snoRNA from 1 species